CAAGAAACAGAGAGAGAAGGAAGGGAACAGAGACAAGAACAUACCCUUCUAGAUCACACCCCUGUGAUUGACCUCCAAACCCGGCCCCAGUCCCUGCAGCACAUUCCACCAGGAAUUCAGCAGUGGAUUAAUACAUGGAUGAGUACAGUGCCCCACAAUCCAAGCACCUUCCAAAAGCCCCUCCCUUGAAUGUUACAGUGUUUUCCGGGGCAUUUGGGAUCUCAUCCAAUAACAUGAGAGACACAGUUUGAACUACCUGCUGCCUCCCACUUUGCCCUUUAUUCUGUCCCUGUUCUCUACAAGUGAAAGUUUGGGCAUGCACGCUAUGAUAGCACAACAAGAAUUACCAAUGCCUACCAGGAGGAGUUACGAAUUCCUCAUUUCCAUCUGGCAGGGAAAAGCUAAGGGCAAAGAAGUUCUUAUCAGAAGAAAGACUUUAAUCAAUUAUGGGAGAAAGAGAGAUGGAAAGAAAGAUCUUGCCUUUAACGAGCAGUUUCCUUUUUGAGUCAAUUUCAUUGAGCUACCCGUUGAUGCUCCCUCUCCACAAGAAUUUGUUCACAGUGACUAAGGGCACACAACUGCUGUGGGCAUCAGGGCUCGAGUUCUC
rnacentral:lncRNA from 1 species